GGGGUGAGAAGGUGGCUGAGAGCGCAGAGAUGGCUAAAACCUCAUCUGUUUAGGCUGUGGGGAUGGCUCAAGCGGGUUUCUCUGUGUAGCCUUGGCUGUCCUGGACAACCUUUGUAGACCAGGCUGGCCUUGGUCUGCUUCCCCUAGUGCUGGGAUUACAGUGAGAGGCCGCAUUUGCUGAGGGCUCUGAGGGUCCAGCCAUUGUGUUUGGCUUCAGCCUAAUGCCACCUCCUCAGAGGAGCCCACCCAAAACCCACGGCCUGAGUCA